rnacentral:rRNA from 1 species
GACGAACGCUGGCGGCGUGCCUAAUACAUGCAAGUUGAGCGAUGAAGAUUGGUGCUUGCACCAAUUUGAAGAGCAGCGAACGGGUGAGUAACGCGUGGGGAAUCUGCCUUUGAGCGGGGGACAACAUUUGGAAACGAAUGCUAAUACCGCAUAAUAACUUUAAACAUAAGUUUUAAGUUUGAAAGAUGCAAUUGCAUCACUCAAAGAUGAUCCCGCGUUGUAUUAGCUAGUUGGUGAGGUAAAGGCUCACCAAGGCGGUGAUACAUAGCCGACCUGAGAGGGUGAUCGGCCACAUUGGGACUGAGACACGGCCCAAACUCCUACGGGAGGCAGCAGUAGGGAAUCUUCGGCAAUGGACGAAAGUCUGACCGAGCAACGCCGCGUGAGUGAAGAAGGUUUUCGGAUCGUAAAACUCUGUUGGUAGAGAAGAACGUUGGUGAGAGUGGAAAGCUCAUCAAGUGACGGUAACUACCCAGAAAGGGACGGCUAACUACGUG